UUAUCAUUGCACCACAGUGCAACGUCGUGUCGCCCAAAUAACCUUUAAAAUCUAAUUUUUUAACACAAUUUUUGACUUUUAGUGGUAUUUAAAGUACUUAAAAUGUAUUCUGUUAUGUUUUUGUCAAGGAUUACAGUUUUUUUUCGUAUCACUUUCUUUGUUUGACGCCAUAUUGGAUCCGCGAGAUGAUACUAAGGAAAGCUGAAUUUCAAGUACUGCUAAAUACUAAAUGGAGCAAAGCUGAAAUACUGUUAUCUUCAAUUCACCACAAUCUGAAAAAUGAAGUCGGUGAACUAAGGU